rnacentral:sRNA from 1 species
UCCUAGCCCUGAUAGCAGCGGUUACCCCGCAGUAGAAGUGGGAGAGUUGUAGGGUUAGGGAGUUGGAAUACGAAGGCGCGAGGAGUAUGAGCGGAUAGCAGGAACAGCU